rnacentral:rRNA from 1 species
AUUGAACGCUGGCGGCAGGCCUAACACAUGCAAGUCGAACGAGUGGCGGACGGGUGAGUAAUGUCUGGGAAACUGCCAGGUAGAGGGGGAUAACUACUGGAAACGGUAGCUAAUACCGCAUACCAUCAGAUGUGCCCAGAUGGGAUUAGCUUGUUGGUGGGGUAACGGCUCACCAAGGCGACGAUCCCUAGCUGGUUUGAGGGGAAGACCAGCCACACUGGAACUGAGACACGGUCCAGACUCCUACGGGAGGCAGCAGUGGGGAAUAGUGCACAAUGGGCGCAAGCCUGAUGCAGCCAUGCCGCGUGUAUGAAGAAGGCCUUCGGGUUGUAAAGUACUUUUAGCGGGGAGGCGUUACCCGCAGAAGAAGCACCGGCUAACUACGUGCCAGCAGCCGCGGUAAUUC